rnacentral:tRNA from 1 species
CUCGCGAUAGCUCAGUUGGCAGAGCGGAGGACUGUAGCUGAAUAAUAGUAGUUAUCCUUAGGUCGAUGGUUCGAAUCCGUCUCGCGAGA